UGGUCACUUGCAACAUGAAGCUUCAGGGUCUUAGUGGAUUUUGUUUUAAAUCCCACAGUCCCAUUUUGCUGUCAGCUAGUACACACCGCCCUCGCACCUCUUGUGGAAACACGGCAAGCAUCGUUGUCUGUCUUCUGCAUCACAGCCCAGCCAUGAGGCACGAAGUUAAAUAGGCACCGAGGACUGCAGAUGCGCUGACGAGCUCUAAGCGAAAGACAUGAGGCCUCAGCCUGAAUGAGGUUGUUUUGAGGUCAUCUGAUUUCUGGCUAGAAGGUGUGCGGUCGCCUCGUCCUGAAACCACUGCAAACAGAAUGGUUUGCAAUUUUUUUUGGUGAUGGCAUGUUCAGAAUCUUGGAUCCCUAUGUUGCAUAUAUUGGAAAUGUUUAGGAACCCUGCAAAAUAUGUUGUUUUUGUAUUUAUAAUGACUUGCUAGGUGAAUCAGCAGAUUUAAUAAAAGUGUGUAAAAGAACAGAUACUACAAUUUUGUACAUCUAAAUUGGCAUGCAUGUCUCAAAUUAUCAGCUGUCAAAUAGUAGUGUCAUAAU